rnacentral:rRNA from 1 species
AGAGUUUGAUCCUGGCUCAGAGUGAACGCUGGCGGCGUGCUUAACACAUGCAAGUCGAACGAGAACGGGUUAUAGCUUGCUAUAACUGUCAGCUAAGUGGCGCACGGGUGAGUAAUAUAUAGGUAAUGUGCCUUAGAGAAGAGAAUAAUUGUUGGAAACGACUUGUAAUGCUCUAUAUGCCCUUAAUACAAAAGUAUGCAGGGGAAAUAUUUAUAGCUCUAAGAUCGGCCUGUACGGUAUCAGCUUGUUGGUGAGGUAAUGGCUCACCAAGGCUAUGACGCCUAACUGGUUUGAGAGGAUGAUCAGUCACACUGGAACUGAGACACGGUCCAGACUCCUACGGGAGGCAGCAGUGGGGAAUAUUGCACAAUGGACGAAAGUCUGAUGCAGCAACGCCGCGUGGAGGAUGACACAUUUCGGUGCGUAAACUCCUUUUAUAUGAGAAGAAAAUGACGGUAUCAUAUGAAUAAGCGCCGGCUAACUCCGUGCCAGCAGCCGCGGUAAUACGGAGGGCGCAAGCGUUACUCGGAAUCACUGGGCGUAAAGAGCGUGUAGGCGGGUAUUUAAGUUGGAAGUGAAAUCCUAUGGCUCAACCAUAGAACUGCUUCCAAAACUGAAUACCUAGAAUAUGGGAGAGGUAGAUGGAAUUUCUGGUGUAGGGGUAAAAUCCGUAGAGAUCAGAAGGAAUACCGAUUGCGAAGGCGAUCUACUGGAACAUUAUUGACGCUGAGACGCGAAAGCGUGGGGAGCAAACAGGAUUAGAUACCCUGGUAGUCCACGCCCUAAACGAUGUACAUUAGUUGUUGCGAUGCUAGACAUUGCAGUAAUGCAGUUAACACAUUAAAUGUACCGCCUGGGGAGUACGGUCGCAAGAUUAAAACUCAAAGGAAUAGACGGGGACCCGCACAAGCGGUGGAGCAUGUGGUUUAAUUCGACGAUACGCGAAGAACCUUACCUGGCCUUGACAUAGAAAGAAUUUAGCAGAGAUGUAAAAGUGCUAGUUUACUAGAGCUUUCAUACAGGUGCUGCACGGCUGUCGUCAGCUCGUGUCGUGAGAUGUUAGGUUAAGUCCCGUAACGAGCGCAACCCCUAUCCUUAUUUGCCAGCACAUCAUGGUGGGAACUAUAAGGAGACUGCCGGUGAUAAACCGGAGGAAGGCGGGGACGACGUCAAGUCAUCAUGGCCCUUACGACCAGGGCUACACACGUGCUACAAUGGGAAGGACAAAGGGUUGCUAAGCCGCGAGGUGGUGCUAAUCUCAUAAACCUUUUCGUAGUCCGGAUCGGAGUCUGCAACUCGACUCCGUGAAGUCGGAAUCGCUAGUAAUCGUGGAUCAGAAUGCCACGGUGAAUACGUUCCCGGGUCUUGUACACACCGCCCGUCAUACCAUGGGAGUGGGUUGCACCAGAAGUAGCUAGUCUAACUGUUUACAGGGGACGGUUACCACGGUGUGAUUCAUGACUGGGGUAAAGUCGUAACAAGGUAACC